UACGCAGGAUGCAAGCGUUGUCCGGAUUUACUGGGCGUAAAGCGCGCGCAGGCGGCUCUUUAAGUCUGGCGUGAAAUCUCCCUGCUCAACGGGGAGGGUGCGUUGUAGACUGAGGAGCUUGAGGUCGGUAGAGGGGGGUGGAAUUGCUGGUGUAGCGGUGAAAUGCGUAGAGAUCAGCAGGAACACCCGUGGCGAAGGCGGCCCCCUGGGCCGUACCUGACGCUGAGGCGCGAAGGCUAGGGGAGCGACCCGG
rnacentral:rRNA from 1 species